rnacentral:ribozyme from 1 species
AGAAAAGAAUUCGAAGCAAAAAAAUCAAAACAUUGGAAGUUUUGGUCUUAAACACGAUCCAAAAGAAUGCUGUGAUUUCAACAUCACAACUCGGAGUUGUGGUCGGAGAGGAAUGGCAAAAAUGAGGAAAUAUGACA